rnacentral:rRNA from 1 species
CAGUCGCCGCGGGAAUACAGAGGGUGCGAGCGUUAAUCGGAUUUACUGGGCGUAAAGCGUGCGUAGGCGGCUUUUUAAGUCGGAUGUGAAAUCCCUUAGCUUAACUUAGGAAUUGCAUUCGAUACUGGGAAGCUAGAGUAUGGGAGAGGAUGGUAGAAUUCCAGGUGUAGCGGUGAAAUGCGUAGAGAUCUGGAGGAAUACCGAUGGCGAAGGCAGCCAUCUGGCCUAAUACUGACGCUGAGGUACGAAAGCAUGGGGAGCAAACAGGAUUAGAUACCCCCGUAGUCCCUGUCUCUUAUAC